UCUAGCUGAACAGCAGUGUAAAAAAGGGCAGUAUACCUCUGUUUCCAAAUCUUAGGAAACAAUAAAUUAUUUAAUACAUUUGAUUAGUGUUCAUUUAAACUAUAUUAGUUAUUUUAGAACAGGGCCUAUUUUAAUCUUAUGAGAUGCAUAAUUUUUUGUUGACUAAAUGUGGGUCAGCAGUGUUUUUAAUAGAGCGGUGACGUAUUUACUGGAAGACAAUCUCUUUCUAUUUUGGGUGCAGCUGCCAUUUCAGCGUGUGGUUCUGUAGGUGUACAGUAGACCAGUAUACUGGAAAAGCGGUUUAACACUUUCAAUUUGGUCUGUACACUUCUACUUUGCAUCCCAACUUUAAUAGGAGACUACUGUUCUUGUUGACGGUGUAAUUUUCAUAAUAUUGUUUUCAUUAUUAAAGAUUUGAGAUGUUAAGUAUUUAUAGACAAGCCUGGCAAAAAUAGUAAAGCUUUAUAAAUCCAUGGGUUGUAACUGAUGGCAAUUCUGUUACCAUUCAGACGUGCCACUCUCUGACUGUUGUUGUGAUUACUUACCAUUUCUGCUGGCUCCUCAGCAUCCAGAGCAUCUCAAUAUGUCCUGGACAGUGGUCAGCCCCAUUGUGUUCACCUACAGAGUGAUCCAAUGCCACAACCUGCUGGAUGAUGGGAACGACCCACUGCUGUGUGGUCAUAUAGAGGACCAGGAGGAGCUCAAGGCGAUGAGAAGCAACACCAAGCACAUCAACGGCUUCAUUGUCAUUGAUGAGACAGUCAAUCAGCUCUAUGGCUCCCAGGUCACCAGGUACUUGAUGCCAGAAAUGUUCUCUAUAGUAUCCUCCCACUGCCCACUACAGAGGAGAACAGGUCCAUUAAAUGUUCUCUAUAGGAUCCUCCCACUGCACUCUACCUAGGACAACAAGUCCAUGGAGCACAUGACCAGGAUUCUGGAGGAGGUCCACAAGUUUGGCAUAGACAGGCGCUCUGAGCCCCUCAUUGCUAUUGGAGCAGGGGUGUGCCUGGAUGUGGUGGGCCUAGCUGUUUCUUUCUACCGGAGACGAACCCCCUAUAUCCGUGUCCCGACCACCCUGCUCUUCUACAUUGAUGCCAGUGUGGGGGCUAAAACUGGAGUCAACUUUGUCAAUGGAAAGAACAAGCUGGGGAGUUACAUCCCCCCCCGGUCGCAACGUUUUUAGACCGAACUGUUCCUCGCCGGCAGGUUUCUAUUGGGAUGGCAGAAAUGUUAAAGAUGGCCCUGAUGAUACACAGGGGCCUGUUUGAACUCCUGGAGACUUAAGGUGGGGGACCUGCUGGACUUCAGCUUCCAGUCCUAUGACCAGAAGACCAGUGGCUGUUGUGACCUGGAGGAUGCUGCCACUACAUCCCCACGGAUUGCCAUAGAAACCAUGCUAGAUGAGUUGGCUCCCAACCUGUGGGAAUAUGACCUGGACAGACUGGUGGACUUUGGCCACCUAGUCAGCCCUGAGCUACGAAUGAAAGUGCUGACUGUGCUACUCCACGGGGAGGCGUGAACAUCGACAUGUCCUUCAUGGUGUACGUGGCCCACCAUAAAGGGCUCCAGAUGGAAGAGGAGAAGGCCCGGAUCAGCCGCUGCAUGAUGGAGCUGCCUGUGUGGCACCAGGACUGCACUCUGGCACUGGUGCAGAAGUCUCUGAGUGAACGUCUGAAACCCUCUGCAGGGUCCCUGAAGAUGCCUCUUCACACAGGACUGUGCUGUGCAGGUCUGGACAUCUUUCCUUUGAUUAUUGAAGAAUAUAUCUUAUAAAUGCCUCAUGAGCUAAGUUCAACUGUCUUACCCCAUCAGAACCCAAAAUAUAAGUUUGUUUUACUCCUAUUUUUGUAAACAAAAUAAAUGUAAACAAACAGCCUCAAAACAUGGUUAUGUCAAUAGUUGUAAUGUCAUCGAUGGUCUGUCCUUGCAACAAUAGCUUCCUCUAUGAAUUUGAGAGUGGUUACAUUUCUCCCACCCCAUCCCUCAGCUUUUUACCAAAAUAGGAGUGGGUAACCCACUUUGUUAUUGUCUCAAAUGCUGAUUGACGCUUUAAGAACACCAUCGAACUGUCUUUUUAUGUCACGACUUCAGUCGAAGUCGGUCCCUCUCCUUGUUCGGGCGGUGUUCGGCGGUCGACGUCACCGGUCU